rnacentral:rRNA from 1 species
CCUACGGGGGGCUGCAGUGAGGAAUAUUGGACAAUGGGCGAAAGCCUGAUCCAGCCAUGCCGCGUGAGUGAUGAAGGCCUUCGGGUUGUAAAGCUCUUUCGACGGGGAAGAUAAUGACCGUACCCGUAGAAGAAGCCACGGCUAAAUUCGUGCCAGCAGCCGCGGUAAUACGAAUGUGGCAAGCGUUGUUCGGAAUCACUGGGCGUAAAGAAUGCGUAGGCGGCUUGACAAGUCAGAAGUGAAAUCCCAGGGCUCAACCCUGGAACUGCUUUUGAAACUGUUGGGCUAGUGUCCCGGAGGGGUUGAUGGAAUUCCGAGUGUAGAGGUGAAAUUCGCAGAUAUUCGGAGGAACACCAGUGGCGAAAGCGAUCAACUGGACGGGUACAGACGCUGAGGCACGAAAGUGUGGGGAUCAAACAGGAUUAGAUACCCCGGUAGUC